rnacentral:rRNA from 1 species
ACUUUUAUGAGAGUUUGAUCCUGGCUCAGGACGAACGCUGGCGGCGUGCCUAAUACAUGCAAGUCGAACGCUUCUUUUCUCCCGAAUGCUUGCAUUCAAUUGAAAAGAGGAGUGGCGGACGGGUGAGUAACACGUGGGUAACCUGCCCAUAAGAGGGGGAUAACAGUCG